rnacentral:rRNA from 1 species
GAGAGUUUGAUUCUAGCUCAGGAUGAACGCUGGCGGCACCGAUAAGUCAUGCAAGUCAAACGUGUCAGUGCGGGGCACUGACCGCGGAAUGACGCAGAACUGACGCAGACAAUCGCAGAAAAAUAUUUCUUUCUGCGUAGGUCUGCGUUUAGUCGGCGUACUUCUGCGGCCAAUGCUCUGCAUUGGCAAGUGGCGAACGAAUUAGUAACACAUUGGCAUCUACCUUAAAGUCAGGCAAAACUAGUCGAAAGAUUGGCUAAUUCCUGAUGGUCUCGCAAGAGUAAAGGCGCAAGCCGCUUUAAGAGGAGCCUAUGUCCCAUCAGCUUGUUGGCGGGGUAAUGGCCCACCAAGGCUAUGACGGGUAGGGGGUGUGAGAGCACGACCCUCAAUGACGAAACUGAGAUACGGUUCGUACACCUACGGGUGGCAGCAGACGAGAAUAUUCGACAAUGGGCGAAAGCCUGAUCGAGGGAUGCCGCGUGCAGGAAGAAGUCCUUCGGGAUGUAAACUGCUUUUGCGUGGGAAAAAAUAGCCCCCUCACUCAGGGAUUUUGUUAGUCUUGACGACGCGAAUUUUAGUCGGAUUCGCGACGCGAAGAGCGAUGUGUGCCUUUAGGCACAUAAGCGAUGAGCAACAAAGAAGAUGUCUAAAAUUCACUAGCCCCUUGGGAAGUGAACUAACGGGCGAUUUCUUUGUUACUCCUCCUCGUAGUGGCAUUAACCACAACUUCGUCGUCGUGCCUCGAAAUCGCCUCGUUUGUUCACUUUCAAGAUUUAAUAAAAUCCUUGAGUGAGGGGGCCCUGAUUGUACCACGAGAAUAAGGGGUUGCUAACUCUGUGCCAGCAGCAGCGGUAAUACAGAGACCCCAAGCGUUAUCCGGAAUUACUGGGCGUAAAGAGCGAGCAGCCGGUUCUGUUAGUCUGGCGUUAAAUCCUUCGGCUUAACCGGAGAACCGCGUUGGAAACGGCAGAACUAGGGCAGGUGAGAGGCAAGCGGAACGUGCGGUGUAGGGGUGAAAUCCAUUGAUAUCGCACGGAACACCAAAAGCGAAAGCAGCUUGCUGGCGCUUUGCCGACGGUCAUUCGCGAAAGCGUGGGCAUAAAAAAGGAUUAGAUACCCUUGUAUUCCACGCCCUAAACCAUGCUGACCAGCUAUUGGGAGCAUCGACCCUUCCAGUGGCGAAGCUAACGCGUUAAGUCAGCCGCCUGGGAAGUACGAGCGCAAGCUUAAAACUUAAAGAAAUAGGCGGGAAUUCGCACAAGCGGUGGAUCAUGUGGUUCAAUUCGACACUGAGCGAGAAACCUCACCAGGGUUUGAAAUCCUAGUGAAAUCCUCGGGAAACCGAGGCCCCCGCAAGGCACUAGGACAGGUGCUGCACGGCUGAAACUUUCGGCCGGUAGGGGAGCAAUUCCCUACAAAAAGAACCAACUCAUAACGGUGGAGUCCUGAAUAUUUUAAUGCUAAAAUUAAAAUAUGGAUAAUACCGUGGAAAGCUCGAGUACAAGUUUUUGUAACUUUCCGAAAACAACCGAAGAUUAUUACAUUCUUGGUCUUUGGAUAUAAGCUUUACGUGAAUUGCAGGCCGUUACUAAGAAUUUUUAAAGAAUUCAAGGAUAAUGGCGAGAGAAGUAUAAAUAAUUUUGUAAUUUAUAUCUCCAGAUUCGAUACUAAUAAAUUUACAAAUGCAAUCAGUCUGUAUUCAAUGAAGUUACAAAAACUUGUACUUGGGUCCCGUAGAGACUCUGACUAUACAGAGAUAGUAUAGUCAGGAUGGCAACAAAUACUUAGUAUUGCCAUAAAACGUUGGCCCCCGCCAAGGCGGGGUGAAAGUAUAGUCCGUACCAUUAGGAAUAGUGGAAUAAUAUGGUCGUCAGCUCGUCAUGUAAAUGGUUUCCUUAAGUGGAUUAACGAGCGCAACCCCUAUUGUCUGUUAUAUUUGUCAGGCGAGACUGCUCCGGUAACGGAGAGGAAGGUGGGGAUGACGUCAAGUCAGCGUGGCCCUCUGAUAUCCUGGGCUACACACAUGAUACAAUGGGCGUUACAAUGGGUUGCCAAGCCGCGAGGCGGAGCUAAUCCCAUCAAAGGCGCCCCCAGUUCGGAUAGGAGGCUGCAACUUGCCUCCUUGAAGCCGGAAUCGCUAGUAAUCGCUGAUCAGAACGCA